UUCCAUCAAAGAGAAAAAUAAUUCAGAAGCAUCCCUCUCUUUUUUACAUCAACUACAUAAUUGUUUCCAACCAAAUAGCAAUUUGUUAUCAUCAAAAGUGAAAAAUUGUAACCCUGUUACAAUUAUGACAUAUGUUCCGCAAAGUACAAAAAAUGGCCACUGACAAUUCUUUUUGCAACAAAAAACAAGAAAAAAAGCGUACACCAUUAUUUUCAGUCCAAUCUAGUAGCAUUGUAUCAAUGUUGUUGAAGAGCUCUGCAUAUUUUCUAGUUUGUACCAACAAGGAAUCCGCUCGACAAAGUGUAGCGCUUCAUCUUGGUCAUUAUGCUCUAGACAUCAUUCAAUAUCCUUGAUGUGUGCCUAGCUACAAAUUUUUGCUGCAAAAAUGUAUGUAUUACAAAAACAUCAUUCACACAUAGUGAAGCAUGGUAAGUAGUGGUUGAAGCAAAAUAAUUCACCACAAGAAUCAUAUGUUGAAAUGGUUGAUGCAUACACCUGUCAACCAAAAUCGUUGAAGCAAAAUAAUUCAUCACAAACAAUGCACAAAUAGCCGCAACCACUUGAGAUUGUUUGUGGUGGUCUACAACAGAAACAUAUGUGAGAAAUACACAUGCAUGAUUGACAACUGUAUGUAUCGAACCAAUGUGCAAUAUACGAGAAACAAAAUGCAUGGAUAGUACGUUUAAUCUGAUCAGGCUUGAAUCUAUAUGACAUGGAAAAUUUUGACAUGCAAUUCAUGAACCAAAAAUUCCACAACAGACACAUCUCUAAGAAGCAUCCCAAUCAUACAUGAAUACAGGGAGGAGAACCCUUACCUGCUUGUGUUGUGGAUGGUGAUCGGAGAAGUUCCCCUGGAUAGGAAACUAGGAAUCUAUAAGGAUGAAAGAGGAAAUAAUUGCCUCCAUGAAGUUGCUUGGACAAGGCGAGGUACAAUAGUAGCUCCAUAGCCUGUUACUCUACCUCGCCUCCUGGUUCACCUCUCUUGUUGACAUGUUCUCCUGGAUUGAAUUUUGGAACGAUGGGAAUGAGGAAGCGAAAUCAGGUGGAAGCUGGGAGGGAUUGCAUGCGUGUUGUUAGGGGAGGGGUUACAUGUGGAGGGCACGGGUGUUAG
rnacentral:lncRNA from 1 species